CAUACACAGCUCAUUUCUUUUUAGUUGAGUAGUAUUAUUUCUGUACAUAAAAAUAUUGACAUAUCUUUUUUCUCAAUAUCUUGGUUAGGUUUUGGUACCAGGUUUAUGACAUAAUCUUUUAAAUCUGUUUUAUUCAAAUGUAACUACGUGUAACUUAAAUGUAGAUAUAGACAGAAAGGAGAAAGGGCAGUCAUGUCUCAGUGUUAUUAGAAUGAAAAUAUGUUUUUGGUAUUGGGAAAACUGUUCUGGUCUGAUGGAAGGAAGAGAAGGAUAAAGCUGAACGAGGAGGAAAGGUGGGAAUGAGGAGCUCAGAGCUGACGAGGCACGGCCAGUGGUUUAGGGCUCCUCACUUCUCCAUUUAUGAUGCCUGACCUUGAACUUCACUGUCUUCUCAAAAUGUUUCUUAUUAGAUUUUGGUUUUCAAGUUACAAUCAAAGUCAUUAGGAAAUAGAUUAAUAAUUGCUUUUAAAAAUUAGGUCUAGAAAUCAGCUGAAAUAGGCCUA
rnacentral:lncRNA from 1 species